GGAAUUUUCCGCAAUGGGCGAAAGCCUGACGGAGCAACGCCGCGUGAGGGAUGAAGGUCUUCGGAUCGUAAACCUCUGUCUUUAGGGACGAUAAUGACGGUACCUAAGGAGGAAGCCACGGCUAACUACGUGCCAGCAGCCGCGGUAAUACGUAGGUGGCAAGCGUUGUCCGGAAUUACUGGGCGUAAAGGGCGUGUAGGCGGCCUUUUAAGUCAGACGUGAAAACCCUGGGCUUAACCCAGGAACUGCGUUUGAAACUGGAGGGCUUGAGGACCGGAGAGGGUAGUGGAAUUCCCAGUGUAGCGGUGAAAUGCGUAGAUAUUGGGAGGAACACCAGUGGCGAAGGCGACUGCCUGGACGGCACCUGACGCUGAGGCGCGAAAGCUAGGGGAGCAAAC
rnacentral:rRNA from 1 species